UACGUAGGGUGCGAGCGUUAACCGGAAUUACUGGGCGUAAAGCGUGCGCAGGCGGUUCGUUAAGUCAGAUGUGAAAGCCCCGGGCUCAACCUGGGAACUGCAUUUGAAACUGGCGGGCUUGAGUGUGGCAGAGGGGGGUGGAAUUCCGCGUGUAGCAGUGAAAUGCGUAGAGAUGCGGAGGAACACCGAUGGCGAAGGCAGCCCCCUGGGCCAACACUGACGCUCAGGCACGAAAGCGUGGGGAGCAAACAGG
rnacentral:rRNA from 1 species